CAGAGGGUGCAAGCGUUAAUCGGAAUUACUGGGCGUAAAGCGUGCGUAGACGGUUAUUUAAGUCGGGUGUGAAAGCCCCGGGCUCAACCUGGGAAUUGCAUUCGAGACUGAAUAGCUAGGGUGCGGAAGAGGGAAGCGGAAUUUCCGGUGUAGCGGUGAAAUGCGUAGAUAUCGGAAGGAACACCAGUGGCGAAAGCGGCUUCCUGGUCCAGCACCGACGUUCAGGCACGAAAGCGUGGGGAGCAAACAGGAUUAGAUACCCUGGUAGUCCACGCCAUAAACGAUGAGGACUAGACGUUGAGAGGGUAAGCCUCCCAGUGUCGCAGCUAACGCGAUAAGUCCUCCGCCUGGGGAGUACGGCCGCAAGGUUG
rnacentral:rRNA from 1 species